rnacentral:lncRNA from 1 species
CUCAACACGUGACACGAGCUUCCAAUAACAACGGAUUUUGUGUUUGAGCAAUGCCAAGAAAACGCAAAGGGGCUGAUUUGAGCCGCAGUACAAGUAAAGCUCGAAACUUGCAAAAUAGCAGAUCCGAAAAAACAGAAAAACAAAUCCAGCAACAAAAUACUGAUGCACGUGUCAGAAUGGCGCAAUUGCAUCAAGAAGAGCCAGAAGAUACACGAGCUGAACGCAAUGAAGUCAGAA